UACGUAGGGGGCAAGCGUUGUCCGGAUUUAUUGGGCGUAAAGAGCUCGUAGGCGGUGUGUCACGUCGAUCGUGAAAACUUGGGGCUUAACCCUGAGCUUGCGGUCGAUACGGGCAUCACUGGAGUUCGGCAGGGGAGACUGGAAUUCCUGGUGUAGCGGUGAAAUGCGCAGAUAUCAGGAGGAACACCGGUGGCGAAGGCGGGUCUCUGGGCCUUACCUGACGCUGAGGCGCGAAAGCUAGGGGAGCGAACAGG
rnacentral:rRNA from 1 species